AAUAGAUACCCAGGUAGUCCACGCCGUAAACGAUGAGUGCUAAGUGUUAGAGGGUUUCCGCCCUUUAGUGCUGCAGCUAACGCAUUAAGCACUCCGCCUGGGGAGUACGGCCGCAAGGCUGAAACUCAAAGGAAUUGACGGGGGCCCGCACAAGCGGUGGAGCAUGUGGUUUAAUUCGAAGCAACGCGAAGAACCUUACCAGGUCUUGACAUCCUCUGACAACCCUAGAGAUAGGGCUUUCCCCUUCGGGGGACAGAGUGACAGGUGGUGCAUGGUUGUCGUCAGCUCGUGUCGUGAGAUGUUGGGUUAAGUCCCGCAACGAGCGCAACCCUUGAUCUUAGUUGCCAGCAUUCAGUUGGGCACUCUAAGGUGACUGCCGGUGACAAACCGGAGGAAGUGGGGAUGACGUCAAAUCAUCAUGCCCCUUAUGACCUGGGCUACACACGUGCUACAAUGGAUGGUACAAAGGGCUGCAAACCUGCGAAGGUAAGCGAAUCCCAUAAAGCCAUUCUCAGUUCGGAUUGC
rnacentral:rRNA from 1 species